AUUCAUCUGACGAGUCCCAAACAGAACGAAACGCGCAUCCUGGAU
rnacentral:hammerhead_ribozyme from 1 species